UGCCUUUGUGUUGCCCAUUCAUUCCUGUCCAGAGUGAAUGUGGUGUCAAAAAAGGCAAACAGGAAUACUUGCUCAGAGUGUUCAAGGAGCUGGUUAUUUACCUCUCUCCUCCCUGUUUUUGCAAGGACAAAA
rnacentral:snoRNA from 1 species